CUGAAACAAACUUCCGGACGUUCAGCCCAAACAUUACAAUUCAAAAGAAGGGAAAAUAAAAUCGUUAAAGGUAACGAAAGUAGAUUGAAAGCAACGCGGAAUGCCCUAUUUAACUUGCUCACACUCAUUUCUCAUGGAGAGUAACCACACGAGACCAGAACCUAUGAAGGGACCCAUUGGAGACCCCAACCAUCCCGAGAGUCGCGGGGUAAAGCGAGGACACUCCGAAAUUGCCAAUUGCGAUUGUGAGGAUGUUCCUCUUUCUAAACGGAUCAACCGACUCAACAUUGACCAAUCAGGUUCUCAUCCACAUGGUUCUCAUCCGGCAGCACGCCCUGGAACGUCCAAUUGUCAAAAUGGGAUGAACCCUUGCGGGUCUUCAGGCUCUUCUCAUCCUGGUUCUCUUCAUCCCAACAAUAAUGGGUCAGCACAGUUCGAAGACUCGAAUUCAUCGUUUUCAGACCAACAAAAGUCAUUUGAAGAGUCGUAUCCGUACAGUGCCAACUCUGAGUAUUUCUCUUCCAACCAUUUGCUCUACCAUCUGCACAAUGAACGAGUGCACAGACAAAUUCAAAGAACGCAUGACCCUAGAUCGUCUAAUAUCAACGUUCAGCAUCAUUUUCAAUCGUGAUUAUUUUGUGUGUUGAAUCAUCGAAUGUGAUAAAUGACAUCAAAUAACAA